rnacentral:lncRNA from 1 species
UGAGGAAAGCAAACACUUCCUGACCGACGGGAAUAAAUAAAAUUGGAGAGCUAUGCUGGUCUUGAAGAGUCCCUGUGGAAGAUGAUCUCAGAAAAAAAAAAAGAGAAAGUUCUUGUUAGCUGAUGAACCGCUCAAAAUGAUGAAUCAACGCACGAAUAUCGAAUCUGCACAUGGAAUGUUCAGUUCAGGCUACCCACUGGUUCUUAUUGGCCAAUUCACACAAACACAAAAAAAAUGAUAUAUUUUUUUUUUCUGGACGGCACUGGCCUAUGCUGUGGCUCUUCAGAAACCUGUAUUGCCUAACCCCUUGAAAAGCCGAAACAAUGCGUCGCUGUAAUGAAGACUGGUACCUGAUUCGAAGACGAGUGCCUUUUUUCCUUUUAAUUUCAAAGCAUCGGAUAUGUGGCUACAUGUCGAACAUCAAUGUUUGCGUAUCUCUAGAUGCCCUUUGAAAAUUGGAAAUAAACCGCUUUAGCAAUAUUUGCAAGGGAGGAGACAACUGGUCAGUGGCUUUAUUCUUGCUGUUUAAGGAAGAACAGAAGGAAAUGCCACCUGUUGAAGAAGAAUAAUUAUGAUUGUGCUUACUUUUUGCUCACUUGAAACGCCGUGGCAAUCUUUGCCAAAAGGAUAUGAUGGAAAAUAUAAUGUUCUUAAUCACAAGGGGAUAGGCAUGUAUGCUGUG